GAUAAGCAACCAGUCAUUUCUUACAAAUACCCAUUUCAUUAGUUAACCAUCAUCCCACAAUUAUCAUCAAUCUGUUAAUUACCGACAUUUAACAAUGUACCCACAUUUCAUAAUAUUACCAUCAUUUAACAACCUUAUCAUUGAUAAUCACUAGUCACCAUUCAUUAGAUAACCAUCAUUUAUCAACUAACAUCAUUGAUUAUCUAAUCAUAAUUUACCAACAAAUCUUCGAUUAUCAACUAGUCAUGACUAGUCACUUAAACAAUAUCCACCACUAAUCCUUGUUUAUCACUAAUCAUCAACUAUACCACCUCAUAAUCCUUUAUCACUAACCAACAAUUAUCACUAAUUCUCACAAGUCCACAAAUUAUCAUUUUUACCACUUCCGGGCUAUAUAUGAUAUUUCUAAUAUCG
rnacentral:lncRNA from 1 species